rnacentral:rRNA from 1 species
CGGUAGCCACGGUAAUACGGAGGGAGCUAGCGUUGUUCGGAAUUACUGGGCGUAAAGCGCGCGUAGGCGGUUACUCAAGUCAGAGGUGAAAGCCCGGGGCUCAACCCCGGAACUGCCUUUGAAACUAGGUGACUAGAAUCUUGGAGAGGUCAGUGGAAUUCCGAGUGUAGAGGUGAAAUUCGUAGAUAUUCGGAAGAACACCAGUGGCGAAGGCGACUGACUGGACAAGUAUUGACGCUGAGGUGCGAAAGCGUGGGGAGCAAACAGGAUUAGAUACCCGCGUAGUCCCUGUCUCUUAUAC